rnacentral:rRNA from 1 species
UACGUAGGUCCCGAGCGUUGUCCGGAUUUAUUGGGCGUAAAGCAAGCGCAGGUGGUUUAUUAAGUCUGGUGUAAAAGGCAGUGGCUCAACCAUUGUAUGCAUUGGAAACUGGUAGACUUGAGUGCAGGAGAAGAGAGUGGAAUUCCAUGUGUAGCGGUGAAAUGCGUAGAUAUAUGGAGGAACACCGGUGGCGAAAGCGGCUCUCUGGCCUGUAACUGACACUGAGGCUCGAAAGCGUGGGGAGCAAACAGG